GGAAGAAUGGAGAAGAGGAAGAAGGGAAAAGAGGAGAGGAGAGGAGGGGAGGCGAGGGGAGAAGAAUGGAACCAGAAGGGGAAACUGUCCUUGCUCACUCUCUCUUUCACUUAAAAUGUAACUCGACCUGGAAACAAAGAAUUUGCCCAGAAGAGCAUCACCCCCAACGCAGAUUUUUUUUCCCUCAAAUUUCGGUUUUCCUCUUUCUUUUCUUUCUUUCUUUUUUAAAAGCAGGAAUGAAUUCAAUCCUAGAGUCUCAUGAGAAGAGAUCACUCAGCCUGCUAGAAGGACCAUCCUGUCUGGAAUCACAGGAAUUAAGAGAAACCACAACUUUGCUCAACUCUCAGUGCAACAUAAAACAUGUUAGCACUUGGGAAAAGGCAGGGCAGAAGAUCCAGAAUUAUUAGAUAAUGAUAACCUAAAGCUGUACAAUAUAAAUUACUGACAGUUUGCCCCUGGAAGACUGAAAAUAAAAUUACCUGAAGCCAACGGAAUUCCUCAGCAUACAAAGGCAAACUCUAAAAUAGCAAGCAUGUACUGGAGCUUUGCACAUUUCCAGGUAACUUUCUGUACACAAACAUGAAGCAGCCCAUUCCUUACUAGUAAAUAUCCACUUCCAGAUGGAAGCCUGGGUGAGCCUUGUCAGGAAAUUCUCUGUUUCUUGGAAGCAAAGAAGUCCAUGAUGGUAGGUUGGAGGUCUAUUUUUUUUUUUUUCAGAGACAGGAUCUCUCUGUGUUGCCCAGGCUGGUUGCAAACUCCUAGGCUCAAGAGAUCCUCCUGCCUUGGCCUCCCAAAGUGCUGGGAUCACAAGCAUGAGCCAUCAUGCCCAGCCAAGGCUGCAGGUCUAAAGAGAGGUCCCCAGAAGUUAUUUUUGAGGUCACUCAUGUUCCAGGAACUCCAUCUUUGUGUACGGCUUCUGGAAGCCACAGAAGGACUGUCUGCCCAAAGGACUUGGGAAGGGCCCCAGACUCCAGUGCCCCGGUACUAACAAAGUCUUUCUGGUGUGCAUGCACACAAAAGCCCAUAACUACAUUUCUCUUGAACCAAACCAGGGAUAACAAAUUGUGAUUGUAAUUUUACAGGUGUCUUUUAAAAAAAUAAUAUACUUUAUGUUUCAGAACAGUCUUAGAUCUACAGAAAAUGUCACAAAAUAGUACAUAGAGUUCCCAUGUACCCUGACACCUAUUUUCUUCUAUUAUUAACAUCUCACAUUAGGAUGGUACACUUGUUAACAAUUAAUGAACCAGUAUUGAUAUGCUAUUAUCAACUGAAGUCCAUACUUUGUUCAGAUUUCCUAAAUUUGUGCCUUAGCUUUCUGCUACAUUUUUUUUUUUUUCCUUUCUGGGCACUGUAUUACAUUUAGAGAUCAUAUCUCCUUCAGCUCCUCUUGUCUGUGAUGCCUUGUGUUUGAUGGCUUUGGCAAUUUUGAGGAACACUGUUCAGGAAUUUCGCAGAGCAUUCCUUGACUGGGUUUGUCUGAUGCUUUUCUUAUGAUUAGACUAGGUUAUGGGCUUUUGGGAGAAAGAGCAUAGAAGUGCAGCACUAUUCUGCUCAUAUCAUGCCAAGCUUACAUGCCAUCGAUGUGACCUGUGACUCUUGGUGCUGACCUGGAUCACCUCACUGAGGUACUGCUGGUCAGAUUUCUCCACUGUGAAGUUACUCUUUUUCCACUUUCUCCAUAAGGAAGUCACUAUGUGCAGUGGACACUUAAGGAGUGGAGAGCUAUGUCCCGCCUGCUUGAGGGUGAAGUUAUCUACAUAAAUUCAUAUCUGAAAUUCUUGUCUAUGAGAGAUUUGUUGACCUGUCCCAUUUAUUUAAUUAUAACAGUAUAGACUCACGGACAUUGAUUUUAUACUUUGCGUUAUAACCCAAUGCUACUUUGUUUUAUUGCUCAAAUUGUUCCGGCUUUGGCCAUCGGGAGCUCUUUCCAGGGACUCUUGUGCCCCUUUGACAUAUCCCCAUCAAUCUGGGGGAAGGAAGAGGACACUUCCUUACUUUCUGGCACUACAGCAUGCCUCAGGCUCAUUUUGUAUAUUUUUUUGCCUCAGUCCUAUUUCUCCAAGGAGCUCUGGGUCCUUUUAGGUGAGAAUGGUGCUAGAAACCAAGAUCUGGGUGCUAGGUGUACUCCUUGCUACUAGGGUGUCUUUUUAUUGUUUGUUUGUUUGGUUGGUUUUUUAGGCCCUGUCAGCUGGAAGAGAAAAGAAAUAUUUGUUUGUAUACUAACCUAUAUACAUACAUACCACACAUACACACACACACGCACAUACAUACAUUUUUAUAUAUAUAUAUAAACAUGCAUACACAGUUUUAUAUAUAUAUAAUAUUUCUAUAUGUAACCAUCUCUAUAUUAAGUUAAACAUGAGUUUUUACUGAUGUUUCCAACUGUAAUCUGUUACCACGUGGACCAUUCUAGUUUCUUUCUCUUGAUUAUCUGUAAAUUCCGACUCCAACAGUGUGAAAUCUGUCUCCUACUAUCCACUAUCCAUGUAUUUAACGUUCAUUCCAGUAUAGCUAUAGCAAUGGAAAG
rnacentral:lncRNA from 10 species